UCGUUUCUCUUGGCUUUUGUUGUCUCACGUUGAAACUGUGCCUCUCCAUUAUGAUAUUUGUUUCUGGGUUGCAUAUUUCUUUGAACUUCCUUUUCAAACAUGUCGGAUCUUCCCGUGACUCCGCUGUGGUUAUUUCCACGCCUUGGUCUGACACAACUGCUGGGGCGUAUGUGAACGAUCUCUCUCUUUCAAUGGCCUCCGGUCCCGCCAGAUUGAGGAUUUUCAGCGACAUUGCUGUCGAAGAUGAGAGGAUCAGGCCGCCGAAAUCCGACCGCCAUCACGGCCUUUUCACUAAGGUAAAAUCUCGUCCUUUUUGCUCAUUUCAAUUCAUACUGAUCGAUCGCCCGCGCAGCAUUGGGUCUUUCUGACCACAAUUGAAUACACUUAAUACC